GGGUCAGCGACUGGGGUGAAGUCGUAACAAGGUAGCCGUAGGGGAACCUGUGGCUGGAUCAC
rnacentral:rRNA from 16 species